UCAAAGGUUUAUACGGAAGGUGGCAAACCACCAGGCUAUGAUCGUGUACGGGCCGCUGAAAUUGGAAACAAAGACUUUGAACUGGAUGUUCUUGAAGAAGCAUACACAACCGAACAUUGGCUCGUUCGAAUUUAUAAAGUAAAAGACUUGAGAAACCGUGGCGUAUAAUUUAAUUUCGUCUAAUUUUCUAAUAAGAAAUAUUUAAAGCAUGUCCAGUCUUAAACAAUAUGAGUCUCAAGAUCGAAAAAUUCUCACAAUCAAUGCAUCAACACUGAUUGAGAAUUGAAUAUGAACAAAAUGUUGGACAGAACAAAUGAACAUAAAGCACAAAAACGUAUAGAUUUUGUAAGUUCAAUUUAUUAGAAAAAUGUUUGUUUGUAAAUACAAAGUAUUUUUUAAAUCAAUUAAUUUUUCUCUCCGAAAUAAUCUCAGCGUUGAAAUCACAACGGCAUUUGUUUGAAUGCACAAAUUGAAAGAAAAAAAAAAGAUGCAAAUGCGAUCGUGAUUCAAAACUGACUGUUGAAAUACUUUAACUUGUGAUUUUUCUUAUGCAUAAACUCAGUGCUCUCAUAGAAUUAAAAGCAAGCAUUUACAAUAGAUUUUUAGAUUUUCCAUUUAAAAAAACAAAAUGAACAAGUAAUUUGUAGUUCUCUAGUAUUUAAUAUGUUUGCAAUAUAAAAAAAGUAAAAUAUAAAAUAUUGCAAAGCACAUCGCAUUGAUAAGAUUGAUUAUGAUACUACAUUGCAAUUUGAACUAAAAAUACACAUUUUUUUAACAUAAUAACCAAAAUCGAAAAUCAUCUUCUGAUUCAGUCAAUUGAAAAAUAUUUAAAGAUUUAUUAAGUUUAGGAAUUUAUCGGCGGCAACAACGACUAUUUCAUCCCAUUCUGCAGAUGCUUGGAAUUUCGUGGAAUGAGCGUUGGCUGAGAGAUGUGAGCUGGGUGCACGAUGAUGUGACAAUGUUCAAUGUAAAGAUGGACUUUGGGCAAAUUAUUUGGUCAGCAUCGAACAGACGAAGUUUGAGCAUAAGAAUGGUUUGCUCGGAUUUUAAUUGAACUUUUAUGAAUCGGGUUUACGGUGUAAAGUUUGACAAUGAUAUUCUAUGCUGUUUUGUGCCAUGAAAAAUGAGGAAGUUUUCGACCGGAAGCUGUACUACCAAUGUUUUAAAUAUUGAUUGAUUGCUUUAAAUAAAAUAAAAAACACACUUUCUGAAUGAAAACAACAACGGUUUUUAAUUCAUUUUGUAAGCAGAAUAAAUUUUUCAAAGUUUGGCUCAUAAAUAGCAAAUGAUGAGAAUACAAUUAAAAAAAUCCACCCCCAAAAAUUCCGGAAAACUCAUUGUGCGAAGAAAAAUAUUGAGAACGAUUU